GUUUUGGUAACCUAGGAUUAAGCUAACAGGCUUUUGGAAAACCGGUUACUGGGACAUAAAAGCACCCCUUGAGCUCUGGUUUAUACAUAACUGGGUGAUUGCGAUUGCAUUCACAUGGGACAUAUGAAAGCAGACGAAUUUGAAUACAGCUAACUGUACAAUAGCAACUGUACAAAUUCCCAAUGUGUGGACAAAUUUUGCAUGGGGUUCCAAACAGGGUCGUACACAGGAUUUUUCUGCUGAAAUAAGUGCCCAAAUGUCAAUGCAUUUACAGUCAUCAGUUAGAUGUAUGCUUAUGGCCGGUAAUAAGGUAAAUUUUCUCUUUUAAAAGUUUUUUAUUCAGAUUGAUGUGUUUUCUUUAGCAUACAUGAGCUCGCCAUGUCACAUUGAACUGAUCCUCGCUGAGAAGGGACAAGUUGUGCCAAAGGCGGAAGACGAAAUGGAAAUAAAGAAGGUUUCAAAGAAAAAGGAGAAGAGGGAGAAGAUGAAAUCACGUGACAUGUAAAUCACCUGACUUCAUCUUCUAUGUUUUCCUGUGUAAAGAAAUAAAUGACUUGCUUGAAUUUGGUCGUCUUGUCUGUUGGUUUAAAUUUGUCUAUACUUUGUAGUUACUGGUUUGUUGUGAUUUGUG